rnacentral:rRNA from 1 species
CGAACGAUGAAGCUUCUAGCUUGCUAGAAGUGGAUUAGUGGCGCACGGGUGAGUAAGGUAUAGUUAAUCUGCCCUACACAAGAGGACAACAGUUGGAAACGACUGCUAAUACUCUAUACUCCUGCUUAACACAAGUUGAGUAGGGAAAGUUUUUCGGUGUAGGAUGAGACUAUAUAGUAUCAGCUAGUUGGUAAGGUAAUGGCUUACCAAGGCUAUGACGCUUAACUGGUCUGAGAGGAUGAUCAGUCACACUGGAACUGAGACACGGUCCAGACUCCUACGGGAGGCAGCAGUAGGGAAUAUUGCGCAAUGGGGGAAACCCUGACGCAGCAACGCCGCGUGGAGGAUGACACUUUUCGGAGCGUAAACUCCUUUUCUUAGGGAAGAAUUCUGACGGUACCUAAGGAAUAAGCACCGGCUAACUCCGUGCCAGCAGCCGCGGUAAUACGGAGGGUGCAAGCGUUACUCGGAAUCACUGGGCGUAAAGGGCGCGUAGGCGGAUUAUCAAGUCUCUUGUGAAAUCUAAUGGCUUAACCAUUAAACUGCUUGGGAAACUGAUAGUCUAGAGUGAGGGAGAGGCAGAUGGAAUUGGUGGUGUAGGGGGUAAAAUCCGUAGAUAUCACCAAGAAUACCCAUUGCGAAGGCGAUCUGCUGGAACUCAACUGACGCUAAGGCGCGAAAGCGUGGGGAGCAAACAGGAUUAGAUACCCUGGUAGUCCACGCCCUAAACGAUGUACACUAGUUGUUGGGGUGCUAGUCAUCUCAGUAAUGCAGCUAACGCAUUAAGUGUACCGCCUGGGGAGUACGGUCGCAAGAUUAAAACUCAAAGGAAUAGACGGGGACCCGCACAAGCGGUGGAGCAUGUGGUUUAAUUCGAAGAUACGCGAAGAACCUUACCUGGGCUUGAUAUCCUAAGAACCUUUUAGAGAUAAGAGGGUGCUAGCUUGCUAGAACUUAGAGACAGGUGCUGCACGGCUGUCGUCAGCUCGUGUCGUGAGAUGUUGGGUUAAGUCCCGCAACGAGCGCAACCCACGUAUUUAGUUGCUAACGGUUCGGCCGAGCACUCUAAAUAGACUGCCUUCGUAAGGAGGAGGAAGGUGUGGACGACGUCAAGUCAUCAUGGCCCUUAUGCCCAGGGCGACACACGUGCUACAAUGGCAUAUACAAUGAGACGCAAUACCGCGAGGUGGAGCAAAUCUAUAAAAUAUGUCCCAGUUCGGAUUGUUCUCUGCAACUCGAGAGCAUGAAGCCGGAAUCGCUAGUAAUCGUAGAUCAGCCAUGCUACGGUGAAUACGUUCCCGGGUCUUGUACUCACCGCCCGUCACACCAUGGGAGUUGAUUUCACUCGAAGCCGGAAUACUAAACUAGUU